rnacentral:rRNA from 1 species
UAAGGAAUAUUGCUCAAUGGCCGAAAGGCUGAAGCAGCAACGCCGCGUGAAGGAUGAAGGGAUUUUUCUUGUAAACUUCUGUAAGAGGGGAAAAAUAAAUUGGAUUUAUCUGAUUUUGAUUGUACCUUCAGAGUAAACCCCGGCUAACUACGUGCCAGCAGCCGCGGUAAUACGUAGGGGGCAAGCGUUGUCCGGAUUUACUGGGUGUAAAGGGUGCUCAGGCGGGUUUGUAAGUCAGAGGUGAAACUCCGAAGCUUAACUUCGGAACUGCCUUUGAUACUGCAUCCCUAGAGUUUGAGAGAGGCGAGUGGAAUAUCUGGUGUAGCAGUGAAAUGCGUAGAUAUCAGAUAGAACACCAAUGGCGAAGGCAGCUCGCUGGCUCAAUACUGACGCUAAAGCACGAAAGUGUGGGUGGCAAACA